CAGCCGCCGCGGUAAAACGAAGGGGGCUAGCGUUGCUCGGAAUGACUGGGCGUAAAGGGCGCGUAGGCGGAUGGCACAGUCAGAUGUGAAAUUCCCGGGCUUAACCUGGGGGCUGCAUUUGAUACGUGUUGUCUAGAGUGAGGAAGAGGGUCGUGGAAUUCCCAGUGUAGAGGUGAAAUUCGUAGAUAUUGGGAAGAACACCGGUGGCGAAGGCGGCGACCUGGUCCUUUACUGACGCUGAGGCGCGAAAGCGUGGGGAGCAAACAGGAGUAGAUACCCCAGUAGUCCCUGUCUCUUAUAC
rnacentral:rRNA from 1 species